rnacentral:rRNA from 1 species
CGAGAGAUCGGGCGUUCCCCCUUCGGGGGGACAGGGUGACAGGUGGUGCAUGGUUGUCGUCAGCUCGUGUCGUGAGAUGUUGGGUUAAGUCCCGCAACGAGCGCAACCCUCGACCUUAGUUGCCAGCGAGUCAAGUCGGGCACUCUAAGGUGACUGCCGGCUAAAAGUCGGAGGAAGGUGGGGAUGACGUCAAAUCAUCAUGCCCCUUAUGACCUGGGCUACACACGUGCUACAAUGGGCGGUACAAAGGGUUGCGAACCCGCG